GUGGGGAAUAUUGGACAAUGGGCGCAAGCCUGAUCCAGCCAUGCCGCGUGUGUGAAGAAGGCCUUCGGGUUGUAAAGCACUUUUGUCCGGGAAGAAAAUCUCCGGGUUAAUACCCUGGGGUUCUGACGGUACCGGAAGAAUAAGCACCGGCUAACUUCGUGCCAGCAGCCGCGGUAAUACGAAGGGUGCAAGCGUUACUCGGAAUUACUGGGCGUAAAGCGUGCGUAGGUGGUUCGUUAAGUCUGCCGUGAAAGCCCCGGGCUCAACCUGGGAAUGGCGGUGGAUACUGGCGGACUAGAGUGCGGUAGAGGGUGGUGGAAUUCCCGGUGUAGCAGUGAAAUGCGUAGAGAUCGGGAGGAACAUCUGUGGCGAAGGCGGCCACCUGGACCAGCACUGACACUGAGGCACGAAAGCGUGGGGAGCAAACAGG
rnacentral:rRNA from 1 species